rnacentral:rRNA from 1 species
UACGUAGGCAGCGAGCGUUGUUCGGAGUUACUGGGCGUAAAGGGUGUGUAGGCGGUUGUUUAAGUUUGGUGUGAAAUCUCCCGGCUCAACUGGGAGGGUGCGCCGAAUACUGAAUGACUUGGAGUGCGGGAGAGGAAAGUGGAAUUCCUGGUGUAGCGGUGAAAUGCGUAGAUAUCAGGAAGAACACCCGUGGCGAAAGCGGCUCUCUGGAACGGUACUGACGCUGAGACGCGAAAGCGUGGGGAGCGAACAGG